rnacentral:misc_RNA from 1 species
GACGAGGGGUCCUAGCGUUGUUCGGAAUCAUUGGGCGUAAAGCGCAUGUAGGCGGCUAUCUAAGUCAGGUGUGAAAGCCCCGGGCUCAACCCGGGAAGUGCAUUUGAUACUGGAUAGCUUGAAUACUGGAGAGGAUAGUAGAAUUCCUGGUGUAGUGGUGAAAUACGUAGAUAUCAGGAGGAAUACCGGUGGCGAAGGCGGCUAUCUGGCCAUGUAUUGACGCUGAGAUGCGAAAGCGUGGGGAGCAAACAGG